rnacentral:rRNA from 1 species
UUUCCCCCUUUGGGGGGGGCGGCAGGCGCGAACCAUUUCAGGCACGCAAGUGCGAUAGGGGGACUCAGAGUGUGAAGGCAUAGAGCCUUCACUUUUGUCACCGUAAGGUGGUCUACGAAUAAGGACUGGGCAAGACCGGUGCCAGCCGCCGCGGUAAUACCGGCAGCCCAAGUGAUGACCGAUAUUAUUGGGCCUAAAGCGUCCGUAGCUGGCCGGACAAGUCCGUUGGGAAAUCGGCCCGCUCAACGGGCGGGCGUCCAGCGGAAACUGCUCGGCUUGGGACCGGAAGACCCGAGGGGUACGUCCGGGGUAGGAGUGAAAUCCUGUAAUCCUGGACGGACCACCGAUGGCGAAACCACCUCAAGAGGACGGAUCCGACAGUGAGGGACGAAAGCUAGGGUCUCGAACCGGAUUAGAUACCCGGGUAGUCCUAGCUGUAACGAUGUCCGCUAGGUGUGGCCCAGGCUACGAGCCUGUGCUGUGCCGUAGGGAAGCCGAGAAGCGACCCGCCUGGGAAGUACGUCUGCAAGGAUGAAACUUAAGGAAUUGGCCGGGGAGCACUACAACCGGAGGAGCCUGCGGUUUAUUGGACUCACGCCGGAAUCUCACCGGUUCGACAGCAGAAUGACAUCAGGGUGAGACCUUACCGACCUCUGAAGUUUUUUUUUUUAAAAAAAAGG